rnacentral:tRNA from 1 species
GGGGGUAUAGCUCAGUGGUAGAGCAUUAUUCGACUGCUAGAUCGAGAGGUCCCCGGUUCAAACCCGAAUGCUCCCU